rnacentral:tRNA from 1 species
UGGGGUAUAGCCAAGUGGUAAGGCAACGGACUUUGACUCCGUCACUCGUAGGUUCAAGUCCUGCUACCCCAGCCA